rnacentral:rRNA from 1 species
UCGACCUGAGCUCAAGGCAAGAACUACUCGCUGAACUUAAGCAUAUCAAUAAGCGGAGGAAAAAGAAAACUAAACUAGGGAUGUCCCUAGUAACGGGCGAGGCGAACCGGGGCAGAGAGACCAACUAGAAGAUCUCCAGACUCAGCUGCGAAUUUGUAAACUCUAAGAAGAAGAGUGGCUCCUC